UAUGUAGGGUGCGAGCGUUAAUCGGACUUACUGGGCGUAAAGCGUGCGCAGGCGGCCCGUUAAGACAGGUGUGAAAUCCCUGGGCUCAACCUAGGAAUUGCGCUUGUGACUGGCGGGCUCGAGUACGGUAGAGGGGGGUGGAAUUCCUGGUGUAGCAGUGAAAUGCGUAGAGAUCAGGAGGAACACCGAUGGCGAAGGCAGCCCCCUGGGCCUGUACUGACGCUCAUGCACGAAAGCGUGGGGAGCAAACAGG
rnacentral:rRNA from 1 species